AUCAGAGAAACAGAUGGCAAAGAAAAGGUUGAAUCACUCCAUACCAUUUUUGCCCCUGUUUUCUGAAGCAAAAUUUCUGCAUACACAAGCACAGCUGAGAGGAGAGGAACUACAAGGAGUAGGGGAACAACAAGUUAGGGACUGCUUAGAGAAACUGGAGAUAUUCAAAACCUUGGACCAGAUUAGAUACACCUGAGGGUACAGAAAAGGUUCAGUGAGGGGAUGCAAUUAGAUAAGGUUGCUGGAUUUAGUUCUUGUAAUGAUUUUCUGGCUGUAAUCGUGUUCUUGGGACUGCUUCAACUGACAUUUACAGCAAGAACCCAGGCUCAGGGAGUCCACACCAGAACAGAUAGCCAAAGAAAAAAUACAAGCACUGAAAGUUUGUAUAGCUCCUCUUCCCUUUCUCAUCUUUGCUUCAAACACGAGAACAAAAGGCUAAGAGCAAUAAACUAAAGAGCUGAAAAAAUCUACACUGUAAAGAAGUAAUUCAAAGAACAAGGAAGAAAGAAAUACAAGAGGAGGAAGGGAACAAAGAGAGGACAAAGGAAGCAGAACAAGGGAAACAAGUGUCCUAUCAUUCUCAAGAUACUGUUAUGUGUCUACAUGUAAACCAGGUUGCUGGUGACUAACACAAUAAACUGUUCGUAGCAUGCUGAAAUUGUCACUUGACCACUUCAUUGUCCCUUAUUUUUUGCUUUCUCCUGUCCUAUAUUUUUCUUUCUUCCUUUUUCUUUCUGCCUGUAAUUCCUGUAUGCUGUCUAACACCAUGAUAUUUAAAAGCCUCUGUCUACCCUUUGCUGCCAAUUGCUAUUGUUUUUGCCUCACUACAGCUAAGCUCAUUGAAUUGCUUUGGAAAGAGCUCAAACUCCUAUCCAAACCUCUGGAGGCAACACAACAAAGCAGAGAGAGACCACAGCCAAAAGUGAGAGAAGCCUGGGCCAAAGAUGCUGAUUUUCUAUGUCAUGAUGGUGUCCCAUGGCCCCUGUGAAGUUUGGCUCCCUGUUGUACUACUCUUCCAGAAGCAGAGAAGAAGAAACAAUCUCUGUGCCAAAGAGCUUGCAAGUAAGCAAGUCCUCUGUGGUAGAUAAUUUUUCCUUAAUGAGCACGUGUACCUUCAUACUGCCCAGGUUCCUGUUAGGUUACUAAAUCAUUCUUCCAGCCUCCUGCCUUCUUGCUAUACACCAACAUGGAUUUUGGAGACUGGAGCUUCAAACUUCAUCAGAGUUACGCUAUGUCUGAAUUCUAGCCAAAAGAUAGCACUCAAAAUGAAUAAGACAUAUCAAGGUAGAACCUGUUCAGAGGACAGAAUGUGAUAAAAGAAUUAGCAAUUUUGAAAAAAAAAAAUGCAGUUAAAGAUGAAAACAAAGAAAUAAUAUUGGCAAGUGGAAAACCAUUUCAAACAGGUUUAUUAAGGUAAGACUGAUUGAACUCCUCCCCUUCCCCUCAUUCUGGCCCAGUUUUGGUACUUAAGAGGCAUAGAAUUACAAUUCGCUACUUGAUUUUUUUUGUUUGUGUGUGGGAGUACUUGGUUACCGUAGAAUCAUGGAAUGGCUUAGGUUGGAAGAGAUAUUAAAGAUCAUCCUGCUUCAAACUCUCUGUCAUGGGCACAGUUGCCACCCAUCAGAUCAGGCUGCCCCGGGCCCCAUCCAACCUGUUUUUGAACACCUCCAGAGUUGAGACAUCCAUGCUUUCUCUGGACACCCUGUGCCAGCACCUCACCACCCUCUGUGUAAAGCAUUUCCUCCUAACAUAAACAGGUCAGAAUUAAAAAUUUAUAAAUAAAUUGAUAAUGAAUUAAGGAUAGUUAUUUUAG
rnacentral:lncRNA from 1 species